rnacentral:rRNA from 1 species
UACGUAGGUGGCAAGCGUUGUCCGGAUUUACUGGGCGUAAAGAGCGCGCAGGCGGUCGUGCAAGUCGCGUGUGAAAGCCCCCGGCUCAACUGGGGAGGGUCACGCGAUACUGCUCGACUCGAAGGCAGGAGAGGGAAGUGGAAUUCCCGGUGUAGUGGUGAAAUGCGUAGAUAUCGGGAGGAACACCAGUGGCGAAGGCGGUCUGCUGGGCCGUUGCUGACGCUGAGGCGCGACAGCGUGGGGGAGCAAACAGG